rnacentral:lncRNA from 1 species
UCUGUCUCUGCCAGUCUGUUCUGGUCUGAGCUGGUCAGGCUUACACAGGCUUUGUACAGGGGCCAAAGAGGGACUGGACAGCCUAUUUCUUUGGGGCUGGUGGCUCCAACUCCAAAUUAGGGGUGCAGUGAAUGUCUUUCCAAGAAGCACACAGCAGGCUGGGCAAGCUGGUGAACUCUGGGAGCUAAAGAGAUGAAGACAAUUCAGGUUUGCGCUCAGCCCAGAGUCUCACCAUUUUAAGAUAAGAGGUUCAGGUCUGUGGAGCAACAUGAAGGCUGUUUCCAAAGGAUGGCAUCAUAUGAUUGCUGGAGCCUCCAACUCACUACAUAGUUAAAAAUGACCUUCAGCUUCUAAGCCUCCUGGCUCCGCCUUUGUUGGGAUUACAGGUGGGAGAUGAGGACUGACAUCCGAGGCCGAAGCAUAUGUGCGUCAUCCUCCAUCAGAGACACAGACACAUAUACUUCACCCUCCUCAUACACUUGACUGGGUUCCUGCUGAAGUUGGCCAUGGCAGUUGAAUAUCAAAAAUGCUCUAGUACUUUGAUUAACGAUGAAGACUCCGGGCUUCUUUCUGAGCUGACUUAGACAGAUUCUUGGUGGAGAUGGGCCAUAUAGACCCAGCAAGGAGUGAGGCCAAGGUCAAGGUUUCUGGAUUUACAGUAUCUUGACUAAAGGGCGAUGAAGGAGGGUGUCCUCGUCAAAACCUUCAUGUGUUGUUUCUACAACGCCAAAGCAGGACAGAUGUUGGUAGAUACAAUGUGCUCCUGAUUAUGUUAAAAUAUUUAUAGACAGACAUGUACAAACCA